rnacentral:rRNA from 1 species
GAUACCCUAUUAUACUUAAAUAUAUAAAAGUCUUAGGUAGUAAGAUAAAAUCUAUUUGAAACCUAAAGAAUUUGGCGGUGAGUCUAAAAAAUUAGAGGAACCUGUUGAAUCAACGAUACUCCACGUUAAAUUUUACUUUCUUUUAGUUUGUAUACCGUCAUCUUAGCCUCCUGGGGAAAGAAGAGGUUAUAAUUGGUUACAAGAAAGUUAGAUCAAGGUGCAGCUUAAGAAAGAUUUAAAUGGGUUACAAUACUUAAGGUAUGGUUAUAUAAAUGAAUAUUUAUAGUUAAAUAGGAUUUAAAAGUAACAGGAGUUUAAAAAGCUCUAGUAAAUGGUAUUAGCCAUGUACACAUC